AGGACGAACGCUGGCGGCGUGCUUAACACAUGCAAGUCACGGGGGCUGGCUGGGCAACUGGCCAGUAACCGGCGAACGGGUGCGUAACACGUGAGCGCCCUGCCUUAUUGAGGGGGAUAGCCGGCCCAACGGCCGGGUAAUACCGCAUACGCUUGAGUGGGGGCAUCCCUGUUCAAGGAAACCUCCGGGGCGAUAAGAGGGGCUCGCGGCCUAUCAGCUAGUUGGUGAGGUAACGGCUCACCAAGGCGAUGACGGGU
rnacentral:rRNA from 1 species